CAGCAGCCGCGGUAAUACGUAGGGUGCAAGCGUUAAUCGGAAUUACUGGGCGUAAAGCGUGCGCAGGCGGUCCGCUAAGACAGAUGUGAAAUCCCCGGGCUUAACCUGGGAACUGCAUUUGUGACUGGCGGGCUAGAGUACGGCAGAGGGGGGUAGAAUUCCACGUGUAGUAGUGAAAUGCGUAGAGAUGUGGAGGAAUACCGAUGGCGAAGGCAGCCCCCUGGGCCAAUACUGACGCUCAUGCACGAAAGCGUGGGGAGCAAACAGGAUUAGAUACCCGCGUAGUCCCUGUCUCUUAUAC
rnacentral:rRNA from 1 species